CACGUAGGCACCAAGCGUUGUCCGGAUUUAUUGGGCGUAAAGAGCUCGUAGGCGGUUCAGUAAGUCGGGUGUGAAAACUCAGGGCUCAACCCUGAGCUGCCAAGCCCGAUAGGCUGCUGCGACUAGAGUCUGGUAGGGGAGUGGGGAAUUCCUGGUGUAGCGGUGAAAUGCGCAGAUAUCAGGAGGAACACCGGUGGCGAAGGCGCCACUCUGGGCCACGACUGACGCUGAGGAGCGGAAAGCAUGGGUAGCAAACAGG
rnacentral:rRNA from 1 species